rnacentral:rRNA from 1 species
GGAGUAACACGUGGGCAACCUGCCCAAAAGAGGGGGAUAACACUUGGAAACAGGUGCUAAUACCGCAUAACCAUAGUUACCGCAUGGUAACUAUGUAAAAGGUGGCUAUGCUACCGCUUUUGGAUGGGCCCGCGGCGCAUUAGCUAGUUGGUGGGGUAAAGGCUUACCAAGGCAAUGAUGCGUAGCCGAACUGAGAGGUUGAUCGGCCACAUUGGGACUGAGACACGGCCCAAACUCCUACGGAAGGCAGCAG